rnacentral:rRNA from 1 species
UACAGAGGGUGCAAGCGUUAAUCGGAAUUACUGGGCGUAAAGCGCACGUAGGCGGUUUUUUAAGUCAGAUGUGAAAGCCCCGGGCUCAACCUGGGAAUUGCAUUUGAAAAUGGGAAACUAGAGUGUGUGAGAGGGGGGUAGAAUUCCAAGUGUAGCGGUGAAAUGCGUAGAGAUUUGGAGGAAUACCAGUGGCGAAGGCGGCCCCCUGGCACAACACUGACGCUCAGGUGCGAAAGCGUGGGGAGCAAACAGG